CCUCUCACUGCCAGAGGAGCUUCUCUGGCCUGAGCAAGAGUUUCGCUCGCCAUACAUCAAACAAUUACUGAGUGUCCUUCUUGUUCCCCGUGAUCGAGCUGUGUGCCUCUACUCCUCUCUGGAUUUUGGACUGCCUCCCUCGAUCCUCGACCCCUGCUUGCCCACGGACUAACCUCUUGCCCUGCCCCUCUGGAUUGACGAAGGAUCCAUCCAUCACGCACUUACAACAAACCCUGAUGGAACAUCCGCAGAUACAGCAGAGACAGACAGCGGUUACUAUGGAAACAAAACCAUUUGAAGCCAGAUUAAUGAUCUGUACACAUUUCCCUUUAAAGCUCAAUUAUCAAUCUUAUUUUCAUGUCAUCUUAGGAAAAUAUGACAAUUUUUUUUUAGUCUACAGCGAUGGUGAUUUUCAA